GAUGAAGAACGCAGCGAAAUGCGAUAAGUAAUGUGAAUUGCAGAAUUCAGUGAAUCAUCGAAUCUUUGAACGCAUCUUGCGCUCCUUGGUAUUCUUAGGAGCAUGCCUGUUUGAGUGUCAUUAAAUUCUCAACUACACUGACUUUGAAUUGGUGUGGCUUGGAUUUGGGGGGAAAAUUGUUGUGGGCUUUUUGUAUAGUCUGCUCCCCUGAAAUUGAUUAGCGGUACCUUUGUGGAACUGUCUACAGGUGUGAUAAUUAUCUACAUCUUAGACAUCUGCUGGAAUGCUGCUCUCUAAACCUUACUUGUAUUGACAAUCUUGACCUCAAAUCAGGUAGGACUACCCGCUGAACUUAAGCAUAUCAAUAAGCGGAGGA
rnacentral:misc_RNA from 1 species